rnacentral:tRNA from 1 species
GAGGAUAUAGCUCAAGUGGUAGAGUGCAUGCUUAGCAUACAUGAGGUUCUGGGUUCAAUCCCCAGUACUUCCU